AAUCAUCAACCUCACCGGCUUUGUUGCUUUGGUGUAGGCUUGGAUUUGGGGAUUAUUGCGGGCCUUCCUCAGGGGGGUCGGCUUCCCUUGAAUGUAUUAGUCGGAUUUGCCCUCCGUAUCCGAGCGGUGUGAUAAACGUCAUUCAUCGAUCGGCGGUGGCUGUGUUCGGCUUCUAACCGUCGCCUCAGGCGACAAGCUUUCUUGACUCA
rnacentral:misc_RNA from 1 species